UUUUUCUACCGAAUCGAAAUGUUAAGGGAAACCAAAAAUCAAAACAACGUCACAAGGGAAACCAAAGCAAAUACCUUAAUGUCAUAACAAUGCUACUCAUCAUGAUCAUAACAAAACACACGAUCGCAAACAGUAAUCAAUAACAUGCCAAUUACUGGCACUAUAAAACACUCAAAAUAUAACAAUAAUAAUUGGUUCAACGAGUUCUUUUCGGCUCUGUUCUUACAUUAUUGAGAAGGACGGAGAAAAAAAAAAGGGCGAAGUUUGGAAGGAGGAGGCUUAGGAAGUGUCCCAGGGCUUAGGUUCGGGAAGGGCAACGACCAUACCUUGGAGGUUGUGGUCGAGGAGGACCUGGCAUCCGAGCCUGGAGUGUUUGUUGAGGACCCUGGCUCGGGAAUUCCGAACGAGGACGUAUUCCUCGUCGUAGGAGCGAGGGGGAAGCUUGUCGAGCCAUUCUUGGGCGAUGUUGACCUCGCAGUGGGCGGAGCAGGCGUCGAUCUCUUCCAGGCGGUGGGAAUCCGGGUCGAUCAGGCCCGUGUUGAUUAGGGCCUUCAGGAGUGUGUGGCCCGCCAGGCCCACUACCUCGUGUUUCUUGCCCUCGAAGUCUAUCGCCGAGAGCCUCACGAUGCGGUCCGAGACCUUCUUCGAGGAGGACGAGGUGGCGGUGGAGCGCGAGAUU
rnacentral:lncRNA from 1 species